rnacentral:rRNA from 1 species
UUGAACGCUGGCGGCAGGCCUAACACAUGCAAGUCGAGCGGUAACACAGAGAGCUUGCUCUCGGGUGACGAGCGGCGGACGGGUGAGUAAUGUCUGGGAAACUGCCUGAUGGAGGGGGAUAACUACUGGAAACGGUAGCUAAUACCGCAUAACGUCGCAAGACCAAAGUGGGGGACCUUCGGGCCUCAUGCCAUCAGAUGUGCCCAGAUGGGAUUAGCUAGUAGGUGGGGUAACGGCUCACCUAGGCGACGAUCCCUAGCUGGUCUGAGAGGAUGACCAGCCACACUGGAACUGAGACACGGUCCAGACUCCUACGGGAGGCAGCAGUGGGGAAUAUUGCACAAUGGGCGCAAGCCUGAUGCAGCCAUGCCGCGUGUGUGAAGAAGGCCUUCGGGUUGUAAAGCACUUUCAGCGGGGAGGAAGGCGGUGAGGUUAAUAACCUCAUCGAUUGACGUUACCCGCAGAAGAAGCACCGGCUAACUCCGUGCCAGCAGCCGCGGUAAUACGGAGGGUGCAAGCGUUAAUCGGAAUUACUGGGCGUAAAGCGCACGCAGGCGGUCUGUCAAGUCGGAUGUGAAAUCCCCGGGCUCAACCUGGGAACUGCAUUCGAAACUGGCAGGCUAGAGUCUUGUAGAGGGGGGUAGAAUUCCAGGUGUAGCGGUGAAAUGCGUAGAGAUCUGGAGGAAUACCGGUGGCGAAGGCGGCCCCCUGGACAAAGACUGACGCUCAGGUGCGAAAGCGUGGGGAGCAAACAGGAUUAGAUACCCUGGUAGUCCACGCCGUAAACGAUGUCGAUUUGGAGGUUGUGCCCUUGAGGCGUGGCUUCCGGAGCUAACGCGUUAAAUCGACCGCCUGGGGAGUACGGCCGCAAGGUUAAAACUCAAAUGAAUUUACGGGGGCCCGCACAAGCGGUGGAGCAUGUGGUUUAAUUCGAUGCAACGCGAAGAACCUUACCUGGUCUUGACAUCCACAGAACUUUCCAGAGAUGGAUUGGUGCCUUCGGGAACUGUGAGACAGGUGCUGCAUGGCUGUCGUCAGCUCGUGUUGUGAAAUGUUGGGUUAAGUCCCGCAACGAGCGCAACCCUUAUCCUUUGUUGCCAGCGGUUAGGCCGGGAACUCAAAGGAGACUGCCAGUGAUAAACUGGAGGAAGGUGGGGAUGACGUCAAGUCAUCAUGGCCCUUACGACCAGGGCUACACACGUGCUACAAUGGCAUAUACAAAGAGAAGCGACCUCGCGAGAGCAAGCGGACCUCAUAAAGUAUGUCGUAGUCCGGAUUGGAGUCUGCAACUCGACUCCAUGAAGUCGGAAUCGCUAGUAAUCGUAGAUCAGAAUGCUACGGUGAAUACGUUCCCGGGCCUUGUACACACCGCCCGUCACACCAUGGGAGUGGGUUGCAAAAGAAGUAGGUAGCUUAACCUUCGGGAGGGCGCUUACCACUUUGUGAUUCAUGACUGGGGUG